CUUCUUUCUUUCUCUCUCUCUCUCUCAUUUUUUUUUUUUUUUUUGUAUUUUUUUCCCAAGACAGUGCCCAGUACAGUGCUCUGCACAUAGUAGGUGCUCAAUAAAUGUUGUUGACUGACUGAGCAGCCAGUGUGUGUUUAAAUAGUAGCUGAUGAUCAAAAUUAUGGUUUUAUAAGCUAUCAUAAGUGUUCUUUGAAUUGAUCAUACAAUAUUCUUUUGAAAAAGUUACAUGCUGUUUUUGUAAGCCAUAUUCAUCUUUUGUUUGUUUUUACUUUAAAGAAAUGCAAACAGAUUGCACAGAGUAAAGAAGAUGAUGAUGUAAUAGUGAAUAAACCUCAUGUUUCGGAUGAAGAGGAAGAAGAGCCUCCUUUUUAUCAUCAUCCCUUUAAACUCAGUGAACCCAAGCCCAUUUUUUUCAAUUUGAAUAUUGCUGCAGCAAAGCCAACUCCACCAAAAAGCCAAGUAACAUUAACAAAGGAGUUUCCUGUGUCAUCUGGAUCUCAACAUCGGAAAAAGGAAGCGGAUAGUGUUUAUGGAGAGUGGGUUAGAGAAGGCAGAUCCUGAGGUUCAACACAAGAACUGCGUUGAGAAAGUUAUUUUAGGCUGAUGUGAACAUCUUGGGUUCAUAGCCCAUUCCCUGACGUGAUGGUAUCUUACUAUUUCUCUGGGUUUUCAGAUAGCCUUUGGUUUCAGUCAUUUCCCUUCCUUGUGCUACCUUAGCCCUUUUGAAUUCUUGUGUUUAACCUAGUGUUCAGCCUUGGUUCUCCAUUCCCUUCUCCUUCCCCUCUUUGCUACUAUUAAAAGUUGGAGGAGUGGAAUUUUAUAUAUUGAAAUUUCUCAAGGCAAUAGUUGUAUCUUGUCAAAAUGACACAGUAACAAUGCCAAAUGUCAAAACAACCCCAUUAAAAUGCCGCCUGAUUAAGUACUGUGCUGCUAAUAAAUACAGUGCACAUGAGAACAGCAAAACUGUAUAUAUAUGUAAAUAUAUAUAUAUCUGUAUCUUUGUAUGUAUCUCUGUAUCUGUAUCUUUGCUGUGUCUUUUAAUAAACAGUUUACUUUUAUUUAA
rnacentral:lncRNA from 1 species